CACGUAGGGCGCAAGCGUUGUCCGGAAUUAUUGGGCGUAAAGAGCUCGUAGGCGGUCUGUUGCGUCUGCUGUGAAAACCCGGGGCUUAACCCCUGGCUUGCAGUGGAUGCGGACAGACUAGAGGUAGGUAGGGGAGAAUGGAAUUCCCGGUGUAGCGGUGAAAUGCGCAGAUAUCGGGAGGAACACCGGUGGCGAAGGCGGUUCUCUGGGCCUUACCUGACGCUGAGACGCGACAGCAUGGGGAGCGAACGGG
rnacentral:rRNA from 1 species